GUCUACGGCCAUACCACGUUGAAAAGCACCGGUUCUCGUCCGAUCACCGAAGUUAAGCAACGUCGGGCCCGGUUAGUACUUGGAUGGGUGACCGCCUUGGGAACACACGGGUGCUGUAGACA
rnacentral:rRNA from 1 species